CAGCAGCCGCGGUAAUACGAAGGGUGCAAGCGUUAAUCGGAAUUACUGGGCGUAAAGCGUGCGUAGGCGGUUUGUUAAGUCUGAUGUGAAAUCCCCGGGCUCAACCUGGGAAUGGCAGUGGAUACUGGCAAGCUAGAGUGUGUCAGAGGAUGGUGGAAUUCCCGGUGUAGCGGUGAAAUGCGUAGAGAUCGGGAGGAACAUCAGUGGCGAAGGCGGCCAUCUGGGACAACACUGACGCUGAGGCACGAAAGCGUGGGGAGCAAACAGGAUUAGAUACCCCCGUAGUCCCUGUCUCUUAUAA
rnacentral:rRNA from 1 species